AAGGAUCAUUAUUGAAUGAAUGUAGAGUUGGUUGUCGCUGGCCUUUAUUGGCAUGUGCACGCCUUCUCUUUCAUCCACACACACCUGUGCACCUGUGAGACGGAGAGCUUUGCCCUUUUAUUAGGGUGUUUUUCUCCGUCUGCCAAUACAUAAAACCAUAUAUAAUAAUUUGAAUGUAAUUUGAUGUAACGCAUCUAUAAACUAAGUUUCAACAACGGAUCUCUUGGCUCUCGCAUCGAUGAAGAACGCAGCGAAAUGCGAUAAGUAAUGUGAAUUGCAGAAUUCAGUGAAUCAUCGAAUCUUUGAACGCACCUUGCGCUCCUUGGUAUUCCUUGGAGCAUGCCUGUUUGAGUAUCAUGAAAUUAUCAAAACAUCACCUUUUGUUCAUUCGAUUGGUUUUGGUUUGGACUUGGAGGUCUUGCGGAUUCACGUCUGCUCCUCUUAAAAACAUUAGCUGGAUCUCAGUAAACUCGGUUCCACUCGGCGUGAUAAGUAUCACUCGCUGAGGACACCCGUAAAAAAGGUGGCCAGGAUUGCAGAUGAACCGCUUCUAAUAGUCCAUUAAAUUGGACAAACAUACUUUAUGAUCUGAUCUCAAAUCAGGUAGGACUACCCGCUGAACUUAAGCAUAUCAAUAAGCGGAGGAAAAGAAACUAACAAGGAUUCCCCUAGUAACGGCGAGUGAAGCGGGAAGAGCUCAAAUUUAAAAUCUGGCAGUUUACUGUCCGAGUUGUAGUCUAGAGAAGCAUCAUCCGUGCUGGACCAUGUACAAGUCUCUUGGAACAGAGCGUCAUAGAGGGUGAGAAUCCCGUCCUUGACAUGGACUCCCAGCGCUUUGUGUUGUGCUCUCAACGAGUCGAGUUGUUUGGGAAUGCAGCUCAAAAUGGGUGGUAAAUUCCAUCUAAAGCUAAAUAUUGGCGAGAGACCGAUAGCGAACAAGUACCGUGAGGGAAAGAUGAAAAGCACUUUGGAGAGAGAGUUAAACAGUACGUGAAAUUGUUGAAAUGGAAACGCUUGAAGUCAGUCGCGUUCUCCGGGAUUCAGCCUUGCUUCUGCUUGGUGCAUUUCCUAGUCUACGGGCCAGCAUGGGUUUUGACCGUUGGAAAAGGGCUGGAGGAAUGUGGCACCCUCGGGUGUGUUAUAGCCUCUUGUCGCAUGCAUCGGUUGGGAUCGAGGACCUCAGUGCACGCUUCGGUUGUGCUUUGAUGCUGGCGUAAUGGCUUUAAACGACC
rnacentral:rRNA from 1 species